GUGGCUGAGCGGUAAAGUGCUUGGUUUCCGAACCAGGUGUCCCGGGUUCGAAUCCUGGC
rfam:Biomphalaria glabrata isolate BB02 unplaced genomic scaffold LGTN_random_Scaffold6968, whole genome shotgun sequence.